CCCAUGACAUGACUGGGCUUGGCCAGACAACUUCAGUCUAUGAGAAUAGACCUGAGAGUCUCAUCUGACCUCUGCUGAAUUGGAUGGACAUCAUCCAGUGAUGCUCUUCUGACACAGUCUUAGAGCUCACAGUUGGAGAGCAUAGUUCUGUUGGGCUGUGGGAUUGGUUAAAAACAGCCAUAAUACAAAGACUGGAGAACCCAAAACAGCUGAGUGCAGCUAGCCUCUCCCACCUUCACAUCACCUCUCCAAACACUUGUAGACAUGAAGGACUUGUCAGGAGAAUGUCUAGACAAAAUAUCGAGAUGGUAGUGUGUCAGAAACAUCCUAGCAGAGUCCUGGGUAAUAAGCUGAGCAUCUGUGAUCAGCAUAGUUGGAAAUAAGUGAAUAGAGAUUCAGGCAAAGUUUGGGUUAGAAGAGCUCAGGAGUAGGUACACAGCGUCACACCUGGGCCAGACUCAGAGGUAGGGUGGGUCCUGCUAGGGUUAAGAAAAAGAAAUGAUUACUUUUUUCACUUUAUAUCAACAAGGAGGCAGAAGACCAGCUCAGGAGAAAUUAUACAUGCAGUGAAGUGGAGUGGGACUGCUGGCUCCAAGUUUGGAGAGAAGAACCACCCCAUAACUUUUUCCUUACUGAAAAUGAGAUUUACUCAUUGCUAAACUUAAGGACCUGAUUUUGAGAAGGAAGAUAAAAGAGAAAAAGAAAAGGCAGAGAGAUUCUUCAGGAAGCAAGACGCAAGAGGUGACGGCGCCCUGUGCACAAAGGCAUUGAGGAAGAGGAAACGAAAUCUAAGAGUGUAGUACGGGCUGUUACUGAAUGAGCUUUUCCCAUCUCUAACUUUCUAGGACUCUGAAGCUAAAGAAAUCUGAGCAGGCAAUCUCACCUCCCAUUUUUACCCGCCCCUCCUCCCACCUCCCACAUUCUGUGAAGUCUGGCUGGCCCCUCCCACUCCUCCCCAACUCAGGCAGGAGGCUUAGAUAAUAGGUGUGGCAUCGGGCCCAGGCAUUCCCACCGUCUUCUCCACCAUCACAUUCUGCUGCUUGAGCAGUUGGCCGCCUCCAUGAGUGUUAAUUGGAGAGACAUCUGAAGUGACCAGACUGGUUUUGCAGCCGCCAUGAUAGACACACUCCAUCUGCUCCAACCAGGCGCUCCUCAGCACACAGGGAGGCCGGCCUGAUUCCUCUUGCCCAGGCCUUGUUAGGAGUUACACUCAAAAGUUAGAUCCCUCGGCUUUGAAGAGGAAACUGCUUCAAAACACACUGAAUGCAGACACCCUUCAGUUUGUCGAAGAGGGGAUUAAGGCCCAGUCUUGCCCUGGGUUCAGCACAGACCUCCCAGCCAAGUUUCCAUCUGUCUGUCCUUCCACAAAUAGGGUGUGUCACUUGCAACCUCUCUUCUAGAUCAUCAGUUGACCACCCUAGUUUCCUACUCCACUAUCCCUUCCCUCCUAAGUGAUGAGGACUUGACUUUCAAAUGUCAUGAUCAGCGUUUUAAAUUAAACUCAUUUUAUCGGGUAA